GAGUUUGAUCCUGGCUCAGAGUGAACGCUGGCGGCGUGCUUAACACAUGCAAGUCGAACGAGAACGGCUCUUAGCUUGCUAAGAGUGUCAGCUAAGUGGCGCACGGGUGAGUAAUGUAUAGCUAACGUGCCCCUUGGAGGGGGAUAACGGCUGGAAACGGCCGCUAAUACCCCAUACUCCUUCACGAGUAAUGUCGUGUCGGGAAAUGGAUUACCGCCAAGGGAUCGGGCUAUAUCGUAUCAGCUAGUUGGUGGGGUAAAGGCCUACCAAGGCGAUGACGCGUAGCGGGUCUGAGAGGAUGAUCCGCCACACUGGAACUGAGACACGGUCCAGACUCCUACGGGAGGCAGCAGUGGGGAAUAUUGGGCAAUGGGCGCAAGCCUGACCCAGCAACGCCGCGUGGAGGAUGACGCCCUUCGGGGUGUAAACUCCUUUUAUCAGGGAAGAUGA
rnacentral:rRNA from 1 species